ensembl:lncRNA
CAUUAUUUUAUUGGGUAAAUGGUAAAUAUUUGCUAAAUGCAUGAAUGAAAAGAAAUCGAAUUUGGAUUAAUCCAAAAAUCAAACAAGUGAUUUCUGUCCCUUUGCACGCCCUCCUCCAAGUUGUUCAAAGCCCUCGAAGGCACAGUCUCUGCCCUCUGAUACCUCUCAUGAGAGCAAUGUGGUUACUUCACAAAGCAGACCCUGGUCACAGAGUAGCUGACUUGUCCCCGAGUCCAUUCACAGGACCAAGAAGGCUGUAACGUAUAAAUCUAGCUGUCUUCCCAGGCUCCUUUACAGAACAGGUGGCCAUGAAAGAUGUAGGCUGAAAGGGCUGGUUGGGGAUUCUAGGAAAGCUCUUUAAAUGAGCCUGACAUCUAGGAUGCUUAACCUUUUGCCCCUCAUCUUCCCUCCUUCCUCCUAUGUGGAAUGCAAUGGUGAUGACUGGAGCUCCAGCAGCCUUCUGGAAACCAUAAUACAAUUUUGAGGAAGGAAGCCAAUGCCAAGAUGGCAGAGCAGGGAGAGGGACGAACGAAUUGGCUGCCUGUUGACCCUCACCCUGGACAGCCUGCUUCCUGUCUUUUUCUGUCUGAAAGAAAGUAAGCCUGACACUUAUCGGAGCCACUGCUAUUUUGUAAAGUUUUCCUUUAUAUACUGCUGAAUUGACAGAAACCCCUGCAUUCCUCUCACACUCUACAAAUAAUUUGUCCAGUGAGAACAGUUAAAAUAACAUUUCUGCCAACAUUAAAAAUUCCAAUAUUUCAAGAAUGAUAAAUUUUCAACAGGGCAGGAUGGAGGGAGGGGCUAAAAGUCCCACAGCAGAAACCCUCACUUGCUAGGUAAUCAAUUCUGAAGGCAAAAGAUAAGCAGGAAAGCCACAGUGGAGAAGAUGUGCCGGCACCAUUAGCUUUUCCGAUUAUACAAGGUGCAAUGAACCAAUUUUUUUAUCAGAGAACGCCUCUGAGACCAGGCCUCCCACCCAUUCCUCCUCCAUGUAGGCCCUACUCCCCUCUGAGCUGGUGUUGGCUUCUCCUCGCCUGAGCUCUGUGGUCCCACCAGAACCCUUCUGACCCUGUGGGGAGACCCAUCUCUGCCUCGCAGCCCUGGCCAAGCAUACCACCGCCUGGCCCAGGCACUGUGGGCAGGGGGAUCGUCUGGAUUAUGGCAGAGGAGCCACUGCAGGAAAGACUCCGCAAAUUAGCACCACUUACAACUGACCAGCAGGACAACCAGUGCUCAGCAUUCCACGUCUAAACACCCAGAGAGGAGAUGCAUGAGGCCCUCGGUGCCUUGCUUUGGCCAGAGAAGGCAGACUGAGCGAAAGGACACAGUUGGGACUUCUGCGGGACCCCUGCAGAAAGAGUGUGAAUGCUUCCUUCUGAGGCACUGCCUGACCUUGAAUUAUCUUCGGAAUUGGCAAGGAAAGGCCAUGUUCUAUUCACCCUGGUUUUAGUUUUAAGUGUAUCUUACUUAAUAUUUUCAAUAUGAGUCAGCUCCAUGUACUGUGAUGAUUUUUCAAAUAACCAGAAGUUGACUGUAGCUGGCUUUAGACAGGAAGCGUGAGUACAGAAUCCAGCUGCUUCCACCCUGGGAGCAAGUCUGGGCCGGUAGUCCUGGAUUUUCUGGCCUGAGGCCUCAGCCUCCUGGAUUACACAAGCAGAACCCUCCUGGGUCCUGCUCUUCCUGACUCUCCUCUCCUGAUGGGAGCAAGGGGCUCCCCUGUCCUGGAUGCACUCCUUGAAGCAGCUGCUCUGCCUGAUCCGCCUGCCUGGGAGUCCUGGACCACAAGUGAGACAUGUCCUGGGCUUUAUUUCUGGCCUUUUCAAAUGACUCUCCUGAUUACAAAAGUGAUGAUAUCAGCUGGCCACAGCCUUAUUUCUCAUGGGUGAGAGGCAAGUGGACUUCCAGCAUCCAUACAACUGCCCGAAUUCCACAUGAGAGAAUACAACCAAUGCCUGGGAUAAAGUUAGCCACCUCAAAACACUGCCCAACAGUGCUUCUCCAGGAGAAUUUAAAGACGGGACCCAGUGAUAAACACACAUCCAACACCCGGUGCUCCCCUGAAACGGGGACCAGAGAAAGUGCUGUGUGCACAAACUGCUGAGGCACCGUCCAAGGCAUUCCGCCUUUUACGGGCUCUUCUCUCCAUGAAGGUGGCAUUUCUCUGAGCACUUAAGAAGAUGACUCACCCAGAGAGGCGGACUGGGCUGGUCUCCCGCCUUGGAAAACCCUGGUGUCUGCCCUGCUGAGGCUCCGAGUUGACACUUGCGUGGCUGCGACCCUCAGCCGCGGGACAAGCGAUGACGACGUUGGAAUUGCAGGAUCUUGCUUGCAAAAGUCAUGGCGCCAACUCAAGGGCUGCAAGCCCCAACAGCUUCAGAGCCAGGCUUCAAGAAUAAGCCAGACUUGAAUAUCAAAGUCCCAAGGAAUGAAAUGAAGGCCUCUGGGACACCACUGAGAGACUGCCAUGCAUCGCCUGAAGAUGCGGGAACAUGCUACCAAGCACAGCUCAAAUUACGGCCAUGGCGGCGACUGUUAGUUCUAUAACCCCACAUCUCUCUCCUUUGCUGCCAAAUAAUCAAGCUCCUGCUUUUCAGUUGCAACAGUUCCGCGUUUGUUAGUCUCCCUUGCAGCUGGGUAUGGCUGCCACCUGACGAGGGCAGCAUGAUGAGCUGGGGGGAGCCUGAGUUAACCUGGAUGGGCUGCUGCCAUAUAACCCUAGACUGCCUACCUCUAGCUUUCUUUUACAUAAGAGAAUAAAACUUUUUGCAUUUCAG